GUGACCUCAAAUCAGGUAGGACUACCCGCUGAACUUAAGCAUAUCAAUAAGCGGAGGAAAAGAAACUAACAAGGAUUCCCCUAGUAACUGCGAGUGAAGCGGGAAAAGCUCAAAUGUAAAAUCUGGCGGUCUUAUGGCUGUCCGAGUUGUAAUCUAGAGAAGUGUUAUCCGCGCUGGACCGUGUACAAGUCUCCUGGAAUGGAGCAUCAUAGAGGGUGAGAAUCCCGUCUUUGACAUGGACUGCCAGGGCUUUGUGAUGCGCUCUCAAAGAGUCGAGUUGUUUGGGAAUGCAGCUCAAGAUGGGUGGUAAAUUCCAUCUAAAGCUAAAUAUCGGCGAGAGACCGAUAGCGAACCAGUACCGUGAGGGAAAGAUGAUAAGAACCUUGG
rnacentral:rRNA from 1 species